rnacentral:tRNA from 2 species
GCUGGCGUAGCUCAAUUGGCAGAGCAGCUGAUUUGUAAUCAGCAGGUUGCGGGUUCAAGUCCCUUCGCCAGCUCCA